rnacentral:RNase_P_RNA from 1 species
CUACAAACCCGAACUAUCGCUUCAUGUUGAGCAUGAUGAGGAAAGUCCGGACAGUACAGAGCAACCUACCGGUUAACGGCCGGUUCCGAUUUAUCGGAAAGAAAGUGCCACAGAAAAUAACUACCACGCAAGUGGAAAAGGUGAAAAUGUGAGGUAAAAGCUCACAGUAGUUGAUGGUAACACAAUUACGGGUAAACCUUAGGUACUGUAAUGCCAUGUAUAGAACCCUUGGAGAGCUGCUCGCUCAAUUCCUGCAAAGGAAAGGGUUCAGGGUAGGCAGCAAGAUUGCAGCAGUAAUGCUGCAGCCAGAUAAAUGAUAGUAUUGGAACAGAAUCCGGCUUACGAGGUUUGUAGUUUU